UCAAACUAAAGAUGGCGACCGGCGCACGGGUGAGUAACACGUAUCCAACCUGCCGAUAACUCGGGGAUAGCCUUUCGAAAGAAAGAUUAAUAUCCGAUAGUAUAUUAAAACCGCAUGGUUUUACUAUUAAAGAAUUUCGGUUAUCGAUGGGGAUGCGUUCCAUUAGUUUGUUGGCGGGGUAACGGCCCACCAAGACUACGAUGGAUAGGGGUUCUGAGAGGAAGGUCCCCCGCAUUGGAACUGAGACACGGUCCAA
rnacentral:rRNA from 1 species